rnacentral:lncRNA from 1 species
GUUUGGUUGUAUCUCUUUGUCAUGUCAUGGUGUCAUAUUUGCCCAAGUAAUCAUUUUAUGAGCAAAUAUGUGGCGACAUCAUGGAGGUAAAGCUCACUUAUUCCAUCAUUAAACUGCACAGCUGCAGUAAUCAGGCAGAUCUCAUUGAACAAACGAUCACCACGUGAGUGAAUGAAGGCUAAAAGUCGCGGAAAAGCUACUUUGUGAAUUUCUAAAGCAGUACAGGAAUAUAAUACAGCAGCAUCCAUCACUUGCACAACUACCAUUCAAACAGUUUAAAACUGUAACAUGACUUGGAGGGGACAGAGAGCAGACCCAAACAUUCAUCAGCUUUCUUUUUUCUAACAUUUUUAGCCAAGGUUUGUUUAUUCCAGUAGCAUAUGCUAUAUGUGUAUUUCUUAGGGACGGACGACCAGACUGAGCACUUAAUCAGGUGGCGGCUCAGCCAUGACCGCCUCUUCACUGGGCGCAGAAAUACGGCCAGGAAGGCAUUUGAGUAAGUCAAGCCAUUCAUAUGUUUCACGAUUCUUCAUACAAUACGUGUGUCUAAUUGUUACCUCACAAUACACUGUGUUUGGCCUUCAGGAGGUUCUUGCAGGACAGCCCCAGCCUCCCGCCGCACAUCACGGCUGAGAGUGCCAAAAAAAAAAAUGGGACAACCUGAAAGAUAAAUAUCGAGUAUGUUGGGCCAACAUCUGCCAUCAACAGUCAAUCCUCCUGUUAAUUAUGAAGGUUAAUCUUGAUACUCUCAUGUCCUACAGAGACUAAAGGCUCCCAAGACAGGCGUCAGCACUGAGGGUGGUGAGGAUACAGCGGCAUCCUGGCCAUGGUUCGAGCUGAAAAGACAGGAGAGGGAGGACAGAAGGGACAGGGAGGCUCGGGAGAGGGACAAGCGCUUUUUAAACAUUUUGGACCUGCUGGCCAGGAGGCAGUAAGAGUUUUGUGUUAGAGGAUUUCAGUUUGUGUAUGUUUAAUGUAGGCGAUUGUUUUAUGUUUGAGUAGGGGGCCCAACAUUUUAAAUUUUACGUUUUUUUGUUCUUAAAUGCCUCUGUUUCUGUUAUGGCACUAUGAGUUUUCCUGAAGACGAUUCGCCUCUCAUCCAAGAAGCUUGAUUUGAUUUGAUUUGAUUUUAUUUAGCACAUUUGUUAAAAGGACAAUACAAUUGUAACAAUAGAGUAAAACAUAGAAAAUAAAGUGCCAGGGAGAGGCAAAGAAGCCCACAGGGCUUAUGUGAGGCCUCUACCUAUGUAGAACAUACAAUUUUAAAAGCAUACAUUAAUAGUAGGAAAAUUUUCAAAAUAUAUAGUUGGCUUGAAAAAAUAGAUUCUGGUAACACAGAAAUACCUUAAAAGACAGAAAAAAUUAGUGGUUAAUCGGUAACCUUGUGUUGCAGCUUUUAUGAAAGGUGUUAUAUAAAUAAAGUUUGAUUUGAUUUGAUAAAUCCUUCAACCUGUUUUAGUAUACAUUCAAGGAUGACAGUUUUAAACUCUUUGACUGUUUAUCAUAGAGAGUAGUACCUUUGUAUUUUAGGGAAAACUGACCUUGACUAGUGUGGUAAAGAGGAAUGUUGUUGGUGUUUAGAAAUGUGGACGACUAUAUGUACUUGAGCGGUCUCAGACCAAUCUUUGUUACGCUUCUGUCAUGCUUCUGUUACACUUUGCUACACUUGUGGCAUGAUGAAGCUGUAACCCAGAUCUGUAACCAGUAAAGCUUGUCAAAAUGAUGAUUCGUGUGGACCUUCCAUUUUUUAAUGUGUGAACAUGGGCUAGGCAUCCUUACACUGAAGGAUAUAAAUGCUGUGUAGAUAUGAGUUAUACGUACUGGCCCAGACAAUAUUGCAAUAAGUUAGGUGAGGAUAGAUGAGACUGAAAUAUAAGGUAAGCAGAAAUUCUUGGUUAAGUAACCCACUUAUUUUUCUGAUGACACCAAAUGAUCUUGCCACUUUGUUACAAACAAGGUUUGACCUCAGGAGAGUAGUUAACCUCUGUGAGUCAUAAUAACUAAAGAAAGGAGUUUGAAGCCUACUGGCUCCAAGCCCUGGGAGGGUCGUCAACAUUUGUUGGUGUGUUGUUAGUGACUCAGGUGAGUCAAGAAUCAGUGAAACUAGUCAGGGUGAUAUAUGCUGUUAGGAAACGUGCCACACACAGCAGCAUUCUACGGCAAAACUUCUGUGGAAUAAAAUGGUUUGGUCCAAGCAAUGUGAUGUGUCAAUUGUAUCUCUGUGUUAUAAAGGUUGGUGGAGG